UGGGGGAGUAUUGCACAAUGGGGGAACCCUGAUGCAGCGACGCCGCGUGAACGAAGAAAUAUUUCGGUAUGUAAAGUUCUAUCAGCAGGGAAGAAAAUGACAGUACCUGACCAAGAAGCCCCGGCUAACUACGUGCC
rnacentral:rRNA from 1 species